rfam:Stegodyphus mimosarum contig27509, whole genome shotgun sequence.
GCCUUCAUGGUGUAGCGGUCAGCACGCUCGACGCGUAACCGAGAGGUCCGUGGUUCGAUUCCCGGCGAAGGCG